ACGCUGGCGGCAGGCCUAACACAUGCAAGUCGAGCGGUAGAGAGAAGCUUGCUUCUCUUGAGAGCGGCGGACGGGUGAGUAAUGCCUAGGAAUCUGCCUGGUAGUGGGGGAUAACGUUCGGAAACGGACGCUAAUACCGCAUACGUCCUACGGGAGAAAGCAGGGGACCUUCGGGCCUUGCGCUAUCAGAUGAGCCUAGGUCGGAUUAGCUAGUUGGUGGGGUAAUGGCUCACCAAGGCGACGAUCCGUAACUGGUCUGAGAGGAUGAUCAGUCACACUGGAACUGAGACACGGUCCAGACUCCUACGGGAGGCAGCAGUGGGGAAUAUUGGACAAUGGGCGAAAGCCUGAUCCAGCCAUGCCGCGUGUGUGAAGAAGGUCUUCGGAUUGUAAAGCACUUUAAGUUGGGAGGAAGGGCAGUAAAUUAAUACUUUGCUGUUUUGACGUUACCGACAGAAUAAGCACCGGCUAACUCUGUGCCAGCAGCCGCGGUAAUACAGAGGGUGCAAGCGUUAAUCGGAAUUACUGGGCGUAAAGCGCGCGUAGGUGGUUCGUUAAGUUGGACGUGAAAUCCCCGGGCUCAACCUGGGAACUGCAUUCAAACUGACGAGCU
rnacentral:rRNA from 1 species